GCCCGGCCGGCGCGCGCCCCCACCCCGGCCCCGGGCCCAGCCGCGCGGCGCCCGCCGCCCGCGCCCCCUGCCCGUGACCUUCACGACGGACCGGACGGAGCGGGGCCUCCGAAAGGACAGAGAAACCCUGGUCGCCAUGGACUCUACCGUUCCUCUUGUCUUCCAAGUAGAACACAAGAUGCCAUGAGCAGAUUCCCGCCGUGGACCACGGGCGUGGCCGCGACUCUGAUGUGGCUGGAAGCAAGAUCCAAUGCCUGAGGGUCCCUGGAUGGGCCCUUCUUUGCAAAACCGGCAUGCCAUCCCAGGGGUGCAGGGUGGGGGGGCACCCCCUGCGAGGAUCCAGCCCAUCUCCCCAUCACACGUCUUGCGAAGCCAUCACGAGGCGGUCAGGACCCACGAGCCGGUGUCAACCUUCCCCCGGGGUGGGGGGCCAUGCUGGCAUCUACAACCUCCAUCCAUCCCCCCAGGGGUGGGGGCGUUCCCAUCCCAGCCCCGCCCACCUGGCCCCGUGCCUCAUGGUGAGUUUCCAUCCGCCUCGCCCUAGCGCACAGUGUUAACUCUCCGGGUGGGGACCCUGCCGCCCAGCGGGGCCUCCCACGGGAAGGCUCUCCGCUUAUUCCCGGCUUGAUGCGUCUGGAGGACAAGCAGCUUCAGAUCGCACCAUCACCGUUUAAGGCAGGCGCCGCUGCGGUCCGACCCUCCUCACGUCUCAGAUGCAGCCCCGUUUGUCUUGACAUACGCGACCGCGCGCCCGGAGCUCUUCGGCUUCCUCCCGUACGUGCAGGAGAAAGACGCCCACGGGAUCCCAGCUGCUCUCCUUGCCGACGCUCCCCACUCCGAGGGGUUUUUAACCCGUCUGCCGCGAGAAGAAACCCGGAUGGGGAAGAAAAGAGAGUGACCCUGGAAAGUACAAAAUGCUGGAGACUUUGCACCCGGGACAAGAGGGUUCUGGGACCUCCCCCAAAACGCACCCGGUAGCGUCGGCUCUCUCUGGGACUCUCAAGGAUGCCUCAGUGAUCUUUCCACGUUGCACCAUGGAUAAAACUUGUGGGAGCCCUUCCAGGCAGCCACGGAGGACUCUGGAGCAUUUAUUGUUAUUAUUUUUUUUCCUGUCUGCUCUGUUUAAACCGAGAGGGAUCCAGGUUGACGGUGGAGGUGGGCCCCCAGCCCUGUGGGGUGCGUGUGUGUCUGUGAAUGUCCCGGCCGAAGCCGACCCCCAGCCCCCACUGACCCGUUCUCAAGCUGCUGAUGAGCGUUUUCUACGUCUACCCCCCACCCACCCCCCGCCCUCCAAGCGCUCCGUCUUUCUGUCCCGUGGGUGUGGUCUGUGGCGCCUCUGUUUUAUCUCGUCUCGUGGCUUCUGCCUGCCCCCUGCGUGGAGACGGGCAAUAAAGAGAAAAGCUAUUCCAGACAUUAUGGCUAUUCCAGAAAAUAAAAUAUUUUUGAAACCGCA